rnacentral:rRNA from 1 species
GAUGAACGCUGGCGGCGUGCCUAAUACAUGCAAGUCGAGCGAAGAGUGGACGGGUGAGUAACACGUGGAUAACCUCCUUUAAGACUGGGAUAACUUCGGGAAACCGGAGCUACAACGGAUACUUAUAGAUGGAUCCGAGCGGCAGUAGCUAGUUGCUAAGGUAACGGCUUACCAAUGCAACGACGCAUAGCCGACCUGAGAGGGUGAUCGGCCACACUGGAACGGAGACACGGGCCAGACUCCUACGGGAGGCAGCAGUAGGGAAUCUUCCGCAAUGGGCUGAAGCCUGAAGGAGCAAUGCCGCGUGAGUGAUGAAGGUCUUCGGAUCGUAAAGGUCUGUCAGUAGGGAAGCGGUCCCUACGCAGAAAGCAACGGCUAACUCCGUGCCAGCAGCCGCGGUAAUAC